rnacentral:rRNA from 1 species
CGGGUGGCAGCAGUUUCGAAUCAUUCACAAUGGGCGAAAGCCUGAUGGUGCGACGCCGCGUGAGGGAUGAAGGCCUUCGGGUUGUAAACCUCUGUCACCGGGGAAGAAACGCUUCAAUUUAACAGAUUGAAGCCUGACUUAACCCGGAGAGGAAGCAGUGGCUAACUCUGUGCCAGCAGCCGCGGUAAUACAGAGACUGCAAGCGUUAUUCGGAUUCACUGGGCGUAAAGGGUGCGCAGGCGGCCGGGUGUGUCAGAUGUGAAAUCCCGAGGCUCAACCUCGGAACUGCGUCUGAAACUACUCGGCUAGAGUACUGGAGAGGGAAACGGAAUUCACGGUGUAGCAGUGAAAUGCGUAGAUAUCGUGAGGAACACCAGAGGCGAAGGCGGUUUCCUGGACAGUUACUGACGCUCAGGCACGAAAGCGUGGGGAGCAAAAGGGAUUAGAUACCCCAGU